UAACCGACUAUGUUUUUCAUUUCUGCUGACUAUACAAAUUGUCAAUAAACGGGUGUACUUUGUUAUUGUCACAUAAAGUUACAAUACAGCAGACAAUUUCGUAACACAUCAGUGAUUGAUUUGAAAAAAAUGUAUAUUGUGCAAUUUGGAAGGUCUUGCAGGUCGUUGUAGAAACAACAUCAAGCGAUUGAUGAAAACGACGAACGUCAUCCGAUUCCCGGAUUCAAAUCGCUCGAAUCCGACGGAAAAAAUAACAAUAUAUGGCAGGAAAAAUUUCACCGAACAGAGCCUGGGAUCAACAGUUGCAACCAAGCAAUGCUGCUCCGUGUCUAUGUUGAUAAUGAAUAUUUCACCAGGCACAUCAUCAUUUGAUUUGAUGCAAAAAUAAAAAGAAUUCAAUGAAA